AGGGAUGCUUAGUAACGGCGAGUGAAGCGGCAAAAGCUCAAAUUUGAAAUCUGGCACCUUCGGUGUCCGAGUUGUAAUUUGAAGAAGGUAACUUUGGAGUUGGCUCUUGUCUAUGUUCCUUGGAACAGGACGUCACAGAGGGUGAGAAUCCCGUGCGAUGAGAUGCCCAAUUCUAUGUAAAGUGCUUUCGAAGAGUCGAGUUGUUUGGGAAUGCAGCUCUAAGUGGGUGGUAAAUUCCAUCUAAAGCUAAAUAUUGGCGAGAGACCGAUAGCGAACAAGUACAGUGAUGGAAAGAUGAAAAGAACUUUGAAAAGAGAGUGAAAAAGUACGUGAAAUUGUUGAAAGGGAAGGGCUUGAGAUCAGACUUGGUAUUUUGCGAUCCUUUCCUUCUUGGUUGGGUUCCUCGCAGCUUACUGGGCCAGCAUCGGUUUGGAUGGUAGGAUAAUGACUAAGGAAUGUGGCUCUACUUCGGUGGAGUGUUAUAGCCUUGGUUGAUACUGCCUGUCUAGACCGAGGACUGCGUCUUUUGACUAGGAUGUUGCAUAAUGAUCUUAAGCCAC
rnacentral:rRNA from 1 species